rnacentral:rRNA from 1 species
GAUGAACGCUGGCGGCGUGCUUAACACAUGCAAGUCGAACGGGAAACCUUUUAUUGAAGCUUCGGCAGAUUUAGCUGGUUUCUAGUGGCGGACGGGUGAGUAACGCGUGGGUAACCUGCCUUGUACAGGGGGAUAACAGUCAGAAAUGACUGCUAAUACCGCAUAAGCGCACAGGACCGCAUGGUCCGGUGUGAAAAACUCCGGUGGUAUAAGAUGGACCCGCGUUGGAUUAGCUUGUUGGUGGGGUAACGGCCCACCAAGGCGACGAUCCAUAGCCGGCCUGAGAGGGUGAACGGCCACAUUGGGACUGAGACACGGCCCAGACUCCUACGGGAGGCAGCAGUGGGGAAUAUUGCACAAUGGGGGAAACCCUGAUGCAGCGACGCCGCGUGAAGGAAGAAGUAUCUCGGUAUGUAAACUUCUAUCAGCAGGGAAGA